rnacentral:rRNA from 1 species
AUUGAACGCUGGCGGCAGGCCUAACACAUGCAAGUCGAACGAGUGGCGGACGGGUGAGUAAUGUCUGGGAAACUGCCUGAUGGAGGGGGAUAACUACUGGAAACGGUAGCUAAUACUGCUUACCAUCGGCUGUGCCCUGAUGGGAUUAGCUAGUCGGUGGGGUAAAGGCUCACCUAGGCGACGAUCCCUAGCUGGUCUGAGAGGAUAACCGGCCACACUUGGACUGGUACACGGUCCAGACGCCUACGUGAGGCAGCAGUAGGGAAUAUUGCGCAAUGGGCGCAAGCCUGAUGCGGCCAUGCCGCGUGUGUGAAGAAGGCUUUCGGGUUGUAAAGUGCUUUCGGCGGGGAGGCGUUACCGUCAGAGGAAGCACCGGCUAACUCCGUGCCAGCAGCCGCGGUAAUAC